CCUACGGGAGGCUGCAGUAGGGAAUCUUUCACAAUGGGCGAAAGCCUGAUGGAGCAACGCCGCGUGCAGGAUGAAGGCCUUCGGGUUGUAAACUGCUUUUAUAAGCGAGAAAUAUGAUGGUAACUUAUGAAUAAGGAUCGGCUAACUACGUGCCAGCAGCCGCGGUCAUACGUAGGAUCCGAGCAUUAUCCGGAGUGACUGGGUGUAAAGAGUUGCGUAGGUGGCAUAAUAAGUAGCUAGUGAAAUCUGGUGGCUCAAACAUUCAGACUAUUAGCUAAACUGUUAAGCUCGAGACCGUUAGGGGUAACUGGAAUUUCUAGUGUAGGAGUGAAAUCCGUAGAUAUUAGAAGGAACACCAAUAGCGUAGGCAGGUUGCUGGGACGGUUCUGACACUAAGGCACGAAAGCGUAGGGAGCAAACGGGAUUAGAUAAGUC
rnacentral:rRNA from 1 species